AUGAUAAAUACAUGUUCAAAGCUUGGGAUAUUGUCUUUUUAGCCUAACCCUACUUAAAACAAAAACAACUAAUGCCUAUUUUGAAACCAAUUGAGUCCAAAUUAAGUUCUGAUCAAUCAAUUUUACUCCAACAGAAAGAUUAAAAGCGUAAUCUUUAGUUUGUGGCUAUCUGGCUUAAUUACUCCACAAUAUACCACAAAACCUACAAAUAUGGACCUUUACAAUGUGCAUUUCAGAGUAAUAAUAGUACAAGUAAAAGAUCAUGCAACAUUAAGAGUAGCACAAUGUGUAAAAUGAGACCCUUAGGCUUGGUGAGAUGCAGAUAGAUGUUAAACUUAGUUGAUGACCUUCCUGGUAAAAUAAAAGCAUCUUUGAAAUGGCAAAGCUUUGGGAGACACUCUCACAUUUCUUAAAAUAACUCAGUUUGCUGAAACUGUCAGACAUAAAAGUGUAACGUGCAGCUUUGCCAGGAAAGGAAUGAAUAAUUUAACAGAUUGAGAUGUAAUCAGGUUUCCUCAGAAAACCAUGAGAGCUCAUCCCCUGUGCUAUAACACCGCAGAAGCCAAAGCAGCUGAAUACAUCUUACAAGCUGCAAAGCUUUCUUUUAAUUAUGUUUGCCUUUGAUAGCAUACUAAUGUAGAACUUUGCAAAAAGAGAGAAAAUACCAGUUUCAACAGGAUUAUUAGAUUAAAUGCUGUGUCUCAGAAGUGAAUCUUGUGCAAUAUUUGUAUUCCUGCAACAAUGCAACUGGAAGUCGUGAAAGUAAAGCUUUUCUAAUUUUUUCACAAUAUGAUCUCAGAUGGAAUAAAUGGCUUAAGACAGGAGUGGAGGCCCAAUUUCUUGAAGAACAAUGACCUCAAGCAUACAGCCAGAGCUACAAUAGAGUGGUUUAAAUUGAAGGGUAAGAAUGGCUGUCAAAAUGGCCCAUUCAGAAACAAGACCAAAACGGAUAAUUUUGGUCUGUGGGAAGAUUGAAAAUAUUAAGAACUCUCUUAAUCCAAUCUGACUCAGAUUGUGGUAUUUUGCAAAGAAGACAGGGCAAAAACGUCAGUCUUCAUGUGUGCAAGGCUGGUAUUGUACUUUGUAUUGUUCACUUUAUGAUUAUCCACAAUCUUGUGUUAGUCUAUUACAUAAAAUCUCAAUAUAAUUUAACAAAAUAGUGAAAGGGCUCCUUUUUGAGAUGUUUGUUAACAAUAAUUUUCUCUCUGUUUAAACUACAGGAUACGGCUGUGCAGGCACUAGUUAUGUUGCUUAUGGGUUGAUUGCUAGAGAGGUAGAGAGAGUGGACAGUGGGUAUCGGUCUGUCAUGAGUGUCCAGUCUUCGCUAGUCAUGCACCCCAUCUAUGCUUACGGCACAGAGGCCCGGAAGGAGAAGUACCUGCCCAGACUUGCUUGGGGGAAAUCAUUGGCUGCUUUGGGUUGACUGAACCAAACCAUGGCAGUGACCCGAGUAGCUACCAUUAUUUGCUUAAAACAAUGGUAGUAAGAAGUUCUGCGAACAUUGUCUACUUGGAUGUUGCCAUGUUGUAUGGCGUUAACUUGAAUGCUGCUUUUUUGGGUGUAAAGUCCAACCCAGCUCAGAGUUCCAACUUCUGAGGCAACUGGAACGCAGCACAAGUGUGAGAAGAAGGUGGACUGAGAUGAAAAGUAAACCUGAGUGCCAUCUGCAAUUGAAACAUUCUUGAAGGAAGGAGAAAUGUAAUAAAAUAGAAGGGGUCCAAGAACAAGCCGAUGAGGAAGUUAAUUUUCCAGUAACUGGAAAAUUAUACUGAUUGUUUGUUUUUUUUCACUUGAAUGUGCUGAGCGCAUCCAGACAUAUGAUAUGGACGGUGCUAUUUUUUUCUGCCAGGAUCACAAACUCACCUGUUGCAGACAUUGCUGUGUUCUGGGCCAGGUGUGAGGAUGGCAGAGUUUAGGGCUGGAAUAGCUGUGGCAAGGCUCUGGAUAUUGCCAGACAAGCCAGGGACAUGUUGGGAGGAAACGGCAUUGCAGACGAGUACCACAUCAUCAGUCACGUCAUGAAAAUGGAGGCUAUCAACACUUACGAAGGGACCCAACGACAUUCAUGCUUUGAUCCUGGGCCGAGCUAUCACCGGGCUGCAGGCGUUCACCGUGGAAAAAUAGAUGGACUUCAGCAUCUAGAUAAAGCUGAUGAUCUGAAAAAUCUGGGAAGUACAGUUUCCUCCUACAAGCAGCAGUGCUGCUGGACAUAUGUGAUAAAUACAUGAUCACACUUAUGUUUAUGAAACUACUGGGACAAGAUAUUUAUUUGUGUUGAAGUUUCAUGCUUAGGGCUACUGUCAGUAUUUGAACUAUUGU